ACAUGGUGUUUAAGGCCCUAGAGAUAGGGAGAUAUAAACACAUACAGGUGGUGCAUGGUUGUCGUCAGCUCGUGUCGUGAGAUGUUGGGUUAAGUCCCGCAACGAGCGCAACCCUUGUCUUUAGUUACCAUCAUUCAGUUGGGGACUCUAGAGAGACUGCCGGUGAUAAACCGGAGGAAGGUGGGGAUGACGUCAAAUCAUCAUGCCCUUAUGACCUGGGCUACACACGUACUACAAUGGCGCAUACAACGAGCUGCGAGAUGGUGACAUCAAGCGAAUCUCUUAAAAUGCGUCUCAGUUCAGAUUGGAGUCUGCAACUCGACUCCAUGAAGUCGGAAUCGCUAGUAAUCGCGGAUCAGCAUGCCGCGGUGAAUACGUUCUCGGGGUUU
rnacentral:rRNA from 1 species